AGUGAACGCUGGCGGUAGGCCUAACACAUGCAAGUCGAACGGCAGCACAGUAAGAGCUUGCUCUUACGGGUGGCGAGUGGCGGACGGGUGAGGAAUACAUCGGAAUCUACUUUUUCGUGGGGGAUAACGUAGGGAAACUUACGCUAAUACCGCAUACGACCUACGGGUGAGAGCAGGGGAUCUUCGGACCUUGCGCGAUUGAAUGAGCCGAUGUCGGAUUAGCUAGUUGGCGGGGUAAAGGCCCACCAAGGCGACGAUCCGUAGCUGGUCUGAGAGGAUGAUGAGCCACACCGGAGAUUAGACGUGGUCCAAACACCUAAGGGAGGCAGCAGUCGGGAAUUGUGGGCAAUGGGCGCAAGCCUGAUACAGCCAUACCGCGUGGGUGAAGAAGGCCUUCGGGUUGUAAAGCCCUGUUGUUGGGAAAGAAAAGCAGCAGGUUAAUACCCCGCUGUUCUGACGGUACCCAAAGAAUAAGCACCGGCUAACUUCGUG
rnacentral:rRNA from 1 species